AAACUUUCAACAACGGAUCUCUUGGCUCUAGCAUCGAUGAAGAACGCAGCGAAAUGCGAUACGUAAUGUGAAUUGCAGAAUUCAGUGAAUCAUCGAAUCUUUGAACGCACAUUGCGCCUGGCAGUAUUCUGCCAGGCAUGCCUGUCC
rnacentral:rRNA from 4 species